GGUGAGAUGGCCGAGCGGUCUAAGGCGCCAGACUAAGGAUCAGGGUACUCUGUACUCAUCACUAACCUUUGAAGGUUAUCUGGUCCUCCGGGGCGUGGGUUCGAAUCCCACUCUCAUCA